rnacentral:rRNA from 2 species
GGGUUGUGAGGUUAAGCGACUAAGCGUACACGGUGGAUGCCCUGGCAGUCAGAGGCGAUGAAGGACGUGCUAAUCUGCGAUAAGCGCCGGUAAGGUGAUAUGAACCGUUAUAACCGGCGAUUUCCGAAUGGGGAAACCCAGUGUGAUUCGUCACACUAUCAUUAACUGAAUCCAUAGGUUAAUGAGGCGAACCGGGGGAACUGAAACAUCUAAGUACCCCGAGGAAAAGAAAUCAACCGAGAUUCCCCCAGUAGCGGCGAGCGAACGGGGAGGAGCCCAGAGCCUGAAUCAGCAUGUGUGUUAGUGGAAGCGUCUGGAAAGGCGCGCGAUACAGGGUGACAGCCCCGUACACAAAAAUGCACAUGCUGUGAGCUCGAUGAGUAGGGCGGGACACGUGGUAUCCUGUCUGAAUAUGGGGGGACCAUCCUCCAAGGCUAAAUACUCCUGACUGACCGAUAGUGAACCAGUACCGUGAGGGAAAGGCGAAAAGAACCCCGGCGAGGGGAGUGAAAAAGAACCUGAAACCGUGUACGUACAAGCAGUGGGAGCCCCACCACUAAGCCAGUGGUGAACUCCACAUACGCAUCCUUUGCUGAGGAUACGGUUAACGGAGCGAAAGCGACGUUCAACCUCAAAAGAAGCAGAGGGGGCUUAGUGGUGGGGUGACUGCGUACCUUUUGUAUAAUGGGUCAGCGACUUAUAUUCUGUAGCAAGGUUAACCGAAUAGGGGAGCCGGAGGGAAACCGAGUCUUAAUUGGGCGUUAAGUUGCAGGGUAUAGACCCGAAACCCGGUGAUCUAGCCAUGGGCAGGUUGAAGGUUGGGUAACACUAACUGGAGGACCGAACCGACUAAUGUUGAAAAAUUAGCGGAUGACCUGUGGCUGGGGGUGAAAGGCCAAUCAAACCGGGAGAUAGCUGGUUCUCCCCGAAAGCUAUUUAGGUAGCGCCUCGUGAAUUCAUCUCCGGGGGUAGAGCACUGUUUCGGCUAGGGGGCCAUCCCGGCUUACCAACCCGAUGCAAACUGCGAAUACCGGAGAAUGUUAUCACGGGAGACACACGGCGGGUGCUAACGUCCGUCGUGAAGAGGGAAACAACCCAGACCGCCAGCUAAGGUCCCAAAGUCAUGGUUAAGUGGGAAACGAUGUGGGAAGGCCCAGACAGCCAGGAUGUUGGCUUAGAAGCAGCCAUCAUUUAAAGAAAGCGUAAUAGCUCACUGGUCGAGUCGGCCUGCGCGGAAGAUGUAACGGGGCUAAACCAUGCACCGAAGCUGCGGCAGCGAACGUAUCACUUAAAGCGAUUCAGCGGAUGACGAUUGACGGAGCGAAGCGACGUCAAAGCGUAUACAAAGUCGAGUCGGUUUAAGGAUACGUUCGUUGGGUAGGGGAGCGUUCUGUAAGCCUGUGAAGGUGGCCUGUGAGGGUUGCUGGAGGUAUCAGAAGUGCGAAUGCUGACAUAAGUAACGAUAAAGCGGGUGAAAAGCCCGCUCGCCGGAAGACCAAGGGUUCCUGUCCAACGUUAAUCGGGGCAGGGUGAGUCGACCCCUAAGGCGAGGCCGAAAGGCGUAGUCGAUGGGAAACGGGUUAAUAUUCCCGUACUUGGUGUUACUGCGAAGGGGGGACGGAGAAGGCUAUGUUGGCCGGGCGACGGUUGUCCCGGUUUAAGCGUGUAGGCUGGUUUUCCAGGCAAAUCCGGAAAAUCAAGGCUGAGGCGUGACGACGAGGCACUACGGUGCUGAAGCAACAAAUGCCCUGCUUCCAGGAAAAGCCUCUAAGCAUCAGGUAACAUCAAAUCGUACCCCAAACCGACACAGGUGGUCAGGUAGAGAAUACCAAGGCGCUUGAGAGAACUCGGGUGAAGGAACUAGGCAAAAUGGUGCCGUAACUUCGGGAGAAGGCACGCUGACAUGUAGGUGAAGUGAUUUACUCAUGGAGCUGAAGUCAGUCGAAGAUACCAGCUGGCUGCAACUGUUUAUUAAAAACACAGCACUGUGCAAACACGAAAGUGGACGUAUACGGUGUGACGCCUGCCCGGUGCCGGAAGGUUAAUUGAUGGGGUCAGCGCAAGCGAAGCUCCUGAUCGAAGCCCCGGUAAACGGCGGCCGUAACUAUAACGGUCCUAAGGUAGCGAAAUUCCUUGUCGGGUAAGUUCCGACCUGCACGAAUGGCGUAAUGAUGGCCAGGCUGUCUCCACCCGAGACUCAGUGAAAUUGAACUCGCUGUGAAGAUGCAGUGUACCCGCGGCAAGACGGAAAGACCCCGUGAACCUUUACUAUAGCUUGACACUGAACAUUGAGCCUUGAUGUGUAGGAUAGGUGGGAGGCUUUGAAGUGUGGACGCCAGUCUGCAUGGAGCCGACCUUGAAAUACCACCCUUUAAUGUUUGAUGUUCUAACGUGGACCCGUAAUCCGGGUUGCGGACAGUGUCUGGUGGGUAGUUUGACUGGGGCGGUCUCCUCCUAAAGAGUAACGGAGGAGCACGAAGGUUGGCUAAUCCUGGUCGGACAUCAGGAGGUUAGUGCAAUGGCAUAAGCCAGCUUGACUGCGAGCGUGACGGCGCGAGCAGGUGCGAAAGCAGGUCAUAGUGAUCCGGUGGUUCUGAAUGGAAGGGCCAUCGCUCAACGGAUAAAAGGUACUCCGGGGAUAACAGGCUGAUACCGCCCAAGAGUUCAUAUCGACGGCGGUGUUUGGCACCUCGAUGUCGGCUCAUCACAUCCUGGGGCUGAAGUAGGUCCCAAGGGUAUGGCUGUUCGCCAUUUAAAGUGGUACGCGAGCUGGGUUUAGAACGUCGUGAGACAGUUCGGUCCCUAUCUGCCGUGGGCGCUGGAGAACUGAGGGGGGCUGCUCCUAGUACGAGAGGACCGGAGUGGACGCAUCACUGGUGUUCGGGUUGUCAUGCCAAUGGCACUGCCCGGUAGCUAAAUGCGGAAGAGAUAAGUGCUGAAAGCAUCUAAGCACGAAACUUGCCCCGAGAUGAGUUCUCCCUGAGACUUAGAGUCUCCUGAAGGAACGUUGAAGACGACGACGUUGAUAGGCCGGGUGUGUAAGCGCAGCGAUGCGUUGAGCUAACCGGUACUAAUGAACCGUGAGGCUUAACCUUACAACGCCGAAG